rnacentral:rRNA from 1 species
GACGAACGCUGGCGGCGUGCUUAACACAUGCAAGUCGAACGGAAAGGCCCCUUCGGGGGUACUCGAGUGGCGAACAGGUGAGUAACACGUGAGUAACCUGCCCUUGACUUCGGGAUAACUUCAGGAAACUGGGGCUAAUACCGGAUAGGAAUCCUUGCUGCAUGGUGGGGGUUGGAAAGCUUCGGCGGUUUUGUAUGGACUCGCGGCUUAUCAGCUUGUUGGUGGGGUAGUGGCUUACCAAGGCUUUGACGGGUAGCCGGCCUGAGAGGGCGACCGGCCACAUUGGGACUGAGAUACGGCCCAGACUCCUACGGGAGGCAGCAGUGGGGAAUAUUGCACAAUGGGCGGAAGCCUGAUGCAGCAACGCCGCGUGCGGGAUGACGGCCUUCGGGUUGUAAACCGCUUUCAGCAGGGGCGAAGCUUGUGGUGACGGUACCUGCAGAAGAAGCACCGGCUAACUACGUG